AUGGCACAGCCCCAGCAGCAGGACACUGUUAUUAGCCACUUCUCCCACCCGUAUCCAGGGCACGAGCUCGUGAAGCGACACUACACCGGGCCGUUCCGCUGUGACAUGUGCUGGGAGAAACUGUCCGGCACCGCCUACGGCUGUGGCGCCGGCUGCGACUUCGUCAUCCACGAGUCCUGCGCCGGCCACGCGCCGACGUUAUCGUCCCCCGAGCUCCAUGCGCACCCGCUCGUGCUCGUCCAGACCCACCGCGACGCGACUCUCUCGUGUGACGUCUGCUUGGGGCGCUGCGCCCCGGGCUCCUUCCUCUACCGUUGUCCACCAUGCGUGUUCGAUAUGCACCUGACCUGCGCGCGGCUACCCCAGGUCGUGCCCAGCGCGCGGGACUCUAUGCACGACCUCAGGUUGGUCGUCGCCGACGGCCGCUGUGCCGCGUGUGACUCCGGCGCAGGGCGCGCGUCAUACUACCGCUGCACAGCGUGCAACUUGGACUUCCACAUCUCGUGUGCAGCCACCAUCGGCGACAACAACAGCGCUCGUGAAGCUCAAGUAGCCCUUGAGGCUGAGAUUGUAGGACAAAGGAUCGACGAGCAGGCUAGAAACGACAUGUUGGACCUGUUUAGCCCUUCCUAUACGGUACGGAGAGAGUACUUCUAA
rnacentral:rRNA from 1 species